GCCGGGGUAGCUCAGCCUGGCCUAGAGUGCCAGACUCAUAAUCUGGAGGUCGUGGGUUCGAAACCCACCCCCGGCA
rnacentral:tRNA from 3 species